rnacentral:rRNA from 1 species
UACGCAGGGAGCGAGCGCUGCUCGGAUUUACUGGGCGUAAAGAGCACGUAUGCGGACAUGCUGGUCGCUUGUGACAUCCUCUGGUCUCAACCUAAGAACUGCUAUCUAAACUGCGUGCCUUGAGUCCAUCAGAGGAGAUCGGUAAUCUUACGUGUAGCGGAGAAGUGCGUACAUAUCUAAGAGAACACCAGUGGCGAAGGCGGAUUUCUGGGAUGCUCUGACGCUCAGGUGCGAAAGCUGAGGGAGCGAACAGGAUUAGAUACCCUGGUAGACUCGGCCGGAAACGAUGGGUACUACUGUAGUUGGGGGACAUUGACCACGUCAGUGCCGCAGCUCACGCAUUAAGUACCCCGCUUGGGGAGUGCGGUCGCACGGCUGAACCUCUAAGGAAUUGACGGGGCACCGCACAAGCAGUGGAGCAUGUUGCUUAAUUCGAUGCAACGCGAAGAUCCUUCCCAGGGCUUGACAUCUGGGGACCCUCUUAGAAAUAAGAGGGUGCCUUCGGGAACCCCACGACAGGUGAUGCACGGCUGUCGUCAGCUCGUGUCAUGAGAUGAUGGGUUAACUCCCGCAACGAGCGCAAUACCCUGUCGUUAGUCACCAUCAGGUAAUGCUGGGAACUCUAAGGAGACAGCCCGUGAUAAGCAGGACGAAGGCGGGGAUGACGUCAAGUCAUCAUGGCUCCUACGUACUGGGCUGCAAACCUGCUACAAUGGUCGGUACAAAGGGUUGUGAUCCCUUGAGGAGGAGCCAAUUCCCAAAAACCGAUCUCAGUUCGGAUUAGAGUAUGCAACUCGACUCUAUGAAGGUGGAAUUGGUAGUAAUCGCGGAUCCAGCAUUCCGCGGAGAAUACGCUCCCGGGUGCU